rnacentral:misc_RNA from 1 species
GAUGAAGAACGUAGCGAAAUGCGAUACGUAGUGUGAAUUGCAGAAUUCAGUGAAUCAUCGAAUCUUUGAACGCACAUUGCGCCCGGCAGUACUCUGCCGGGCAUGCCUGUUCGAGCGUCAUUUCAACCCUCAAGCCCUGCUUGGUGUUGGGGUCCCACGGCCGCCGUGGGCCCUGAAAGGAAGUGGCGGGCUCGCUACAACUCCGAGCGUAGUAAUUCAUUAUCUCGCUUAGGGCGUUUGGCGGCGCUCCUGCCGUUAAAGAACCAUCUUUAACUCAAGGUUGACCUCGGAUCAGGUAGGAAUACCCGCUGAACUUAAGCAUAUCAAUAAGCGGAGGA